GACGAACCGAGCGAACGUUGUUCGGAAUCACUGGGCUUAAAGGGCGCGUAGGCGGGCUGUCAAGUCUGGGGUGAAAUCCCGCGGCUCAACCGUGGAACUGCCUUAGAUACUGACGGCCUCGAGGGAGGUAGGGGCGAGCGGAACUCUCAGUGGAGCGGUGAAAUGCGUUGAUAUUGGGAGGAACUCCGGUGGCGAAAGCGGCUCGCUGGACCUUUUCUGACGCUGAGGCGCGAAAGCUAGGGGAGCGAACGGG
rnacentral:rRNA from 1 species